rnacentral:rRNA from 1 species
AUUGAACGCUGGCGGCAGGCUUAACACAUGCAAGUCGAGCGAGCGGCGGACGUGUGAUUAAUGUCUGGGAAACUUCCUGAUGGAGGGGGAUCACUACUGGAAACGGUAGCUAAUACCGCAUACCAUCAUAUGUGCCCAUAUGGGAUUAGCUGGUAGGUGGGGUAAUGGCUCACCUAGGCGACGAUCCCUAGCUGUUCUGAGAGUAUGACCGGACACACUGGAACUGAGAAACGGUCCAGAGUCCUAAGGACGGAGUCAGUGGGGAAUAUUGCACAAUGGGCGCAAGCCUGAUGCAGCAAUGCGGCGUGUGUGAAGAAGGCCUUCGGGUUGUAAAGCACUUGCAGCGAGGAGGCGUUAAUCGCAGAAGAAGCACCGGCUAAAUCCGUGCCAGCCGGAGCGGUAAUAC